rnacentral:rRNA from 1 species
GACGAACGCUGGCGGCGUGCUUAACACAUGCAAGUCGAACGGAAAGGCCCUUCUUUUGUGGGGUGCUCGAGUGGCGAACGGGUGAGUAACACGUGAGUAACCUGCCCUUGACUUUGGGAUAACUUCAGGAAACUGGGGCUAAUACCGGAUAGGAGCUCCUGCUGCAUGGUGGUGGUUGGAAAUUUUCGGCGGUUGGGGAUGGACUCGCGGCUUAUCAGCUUGUUGGUGGGGUAGUGGCUUACCAAGGCUUUGACGGGUAGCCGGCCUGAGAGGGUGACCGGCCACAUUGGGACUGAGAUACGGCCCAGACUCCUACGGGAGGCAGCAGUGGGGAAUAUUGCACAAUGGGCGGAAGCCUGAUGCAGCAACGCCGCGUGCGGGAUGACGGCCUUCGGGUUGUAAACCGCUUUCGCCUGUGACGAAGCGUGAGUGACGGUAAUGGGUAAAGAAGCACCGGCUAACUACGUG